CCAAGAAUAACAGUGCGAGUCUCUAUUGGCAGAGAUUUAUUAUUAUCUCAAAGAAAAAUAAAAAAAUAUUUUUGUUUUUGCUUCUUUUUUCGAUCUUCUCCUUCUUCUGCCAAAAGAGACUUGCCCUGCCAUUCCAUU
rnacentral:pre_miRNA from 2 species